rnacentral:rRNA from 1 species
AACGAACGCUGGCGGCAUGCCUAACACAUGCAAGUCGAACGAGACCUUCGGGUCUAGUGGCGCAAGGGUGCGUAACGCGUGGGAACCUGCCCUUAGGUUCGGAAUAACUCCCCGAAAGGGGUGCUAAUACCGGAUAAUGUCUUCGGACCAAUGAUUUAUCGCCUUUGGAUGGGCCCGCGUUGGAUUAGCUAGUUGGUAGGGUAAAAGCCUACCAAGGCGACGAUCCAUAGCUGGUCUGAGAGGAUGAUCGGCCACACUGGGACUGAGACACGGCCCAGACUCCUACGGGAGGCAGCAGUGGGGAAUAUUGGACAAUGGGCGAAAGCCUGAUCCAGCAAUGACGUGUGAGUGAUGAAGGCCUUAGGGUUGUAAAGCUUUUUUACCCGGGAUGAUAAUGACAGUACCGGGAGAAUAAGCUCCGGCUAACUCCGUG